CACGUGAGAAUCUGCCCUUAGGAGGAGGAUAACAGCUGGAAACGGUUGCUAAUACUCCAUAUGCCGAGAGGUGAAAGGAUUUAUCUGCCUAAGGAGGAGCUCGCGUCUGAUUAGCUAGUUGGUAGGGUAAUAGCCUACCAAGGCGACGAUCAGUAGCUGGUUUGAGAGGAUGAUCAGCCACACUGGGACUGAGACACGGCCCAGACUCCUACGGGAGGCAGCAGUAGGGAAUUUUCCGCAAUGGGCGAAAGCCUGACGGAGCAAUACCGCGUGAGGGAUGACGGCCUGUGGGUUGUAAAC
rnacentral:rRNA from 1 species